rnacentral:lncRNA from 12 species
AGCUCAUCCAGGAUAGCCAAGGAGAGGCAGCCACCGCCGUGGAGUGCAGAGGCUCCUGAAAGCAGGAAUGCUUCCCUGGCAUUUGGAGGUUUGGUAUCUCAUGGAGAGAAAAACCUUCAGAAUAUUUCAUCACCAUCCAACUUGACUUCCAGAACCCACACGUUCAACAAGGUCCUCAGUUUUGGGAAGAAGCAGAGCCUCAGGUCCCUGCUGUGCCAGGUGCUGUCACGAUACCUGGCACGUCCUGGUGCGAGCGUGGCAGCCAACAUCCACCACACCUUCUGCUCCACCAGCUCGUCCCUUCUGGAGUCCUUUGCCCUGGAGUUCAGGAGCCAGCUCUCCCAGGUGGGUGCCUGGGACCUUCCCUGGGGGCUGCAGCUGGGCAGGAGUUGCUCCUCUCUGUACCUAAGCCGGGCACGGUGAGGCUGGGUUAAUUCUUGUGCAUGGGGUUAGCCCAAAGACCUCCAAGGGGAAAAGCCAAACAUCAUCCAGCCAUCAGCUCGUGGCCACUAAGGGCUCUCACCAUGCCUGGGCCUUGCUUCUCCUCCCUGUUUGCCCUUCUGCGUGGCAGGUCAGUGGAACAGCACGAGGAUGUGGUGUAAAUAAGAGUGUUUAAACCUUGGGAAGGCAAUAAAUUUAAUUGUGUAUUACCUCAGCAGUAUAACUUCAUCCAGUGACUCCUGCAUCUGAUCCAACAAUUCAUGAUUGAAGCAGUACUUGUCUUUGGGAAAGCAAUAUAAUUAAAGCAAAUUAAUCCUCUAAAGAUAAAGCCUCCUUUUUUUCUCUUUUUUUUUUUUUUUUUUUUUCUCUGCCAAGGUUAGGAUAGAUAUUAAUUUCCUUGUAUUGCUAGUCUUUGGACUCUUCAGGACAUUGUGAAUCGUAGGGCUUGUCUGAACAGAGAAUUUAUUGUACAACCUGGGGUGUGAAGGUAAAACACAGUCACACUCUCAGUUAUUGCCUGUCCUUUGAAUGCAUUGUUUGCAGACUUGCAUGCAAGUGCAGUGCCAGCUGAAAAAC